GAUUACCUCAGUAACGGCGAGUGAAGCGGUAACAGCUCAAAUUUGAAAUCUGGGUCUUUCAGGCUCCGAGUUGUAAUUUGUAGAAGAUGCUUUGGGUGCGGUCCCGGUCUAAGUUCCUUGGAACAGGACGUCAUAGAGGGUGAGAAUCCCGUAUGUGAUCGGUGGCUUGCGCCCGUGUAAAGCUCUUUCGACGAGUCGGGUUGUUUGGGAAUGCAGCUCUAAAUGGGUGGUAAAUUUCAUCUAAAGCUAAAUAUUGGCCAGAGACCGAUAGCGCACAAGUAGAGUGAUCGAAAGAUGAAAAGCACUUUGGAAAGAGAGUUAAACAGUACGUGAAAUUGUUGAAAGGGAAGCGCUUGCAACCAGACUUGCGCGGGGUUGAUCAUCCGGGGUUCUCCCCGGUGCACUCGGCCUCGCUCAGGCCAGCAUCGGUUUCGGUGGUUGGAUAAAGGCCUUGGGAAUGUGACUUCUUUCGGGGAGUGUUAUAGCCCUCGGUGCAAUGCAGCCUACCGGGACCGAGGACCGCGCUUCGGCUAGGAUGCUGGCGUAAUGGUUGUAAGCGACCCGUCUUGAAACACGGACCAAGGAGUCUAACAUCUAUGCGAGUGUUUGGGCGUCAAACCCAUACGCGUAAUGAAAGUGAACGGAGGUGAGAACCCUUAAGGGUGCAUCAUCGACCGAUCCUGAUGUCUUCGGAUGGAUUUGAGUAAGAGCAUAGCUGUUGGGACCCGAAAGAUGGUGAACUAUGCCUGAAUAGGGUGAAGCCAGAGGAAACUCUGGUGGAGGCUCGCAGCGGUUCUGACGUGCAAAUCGAUCGUCAAAUUUGGGCAUAGGGGCGAAAGACUAAUCGAACCAUCUAGUAGCUGGUU
rnacentral:rRNA from 1 species